UGUAGGUUGGCGCAAUGGUAGCGCGUGCCCCUCCUAAGGGCAAGGUUGCGGGUUCGACUCCCGUGCUGGUCG